rnacentral:misc_RNA from 1 species
GUGAAUCAUCGAAUUUUUGAACGCAAAUUGCACUCUCUUCGGAGAGUAUGCCUGUUUGAGGGUCAACCUAAAAAAAAAUCGACAUAGUCGCCGUUUUGCGGUGAUAUUCGUCGGAAAUUGGGUUAUCUUAAAUCUUUGGGUUUUAAGCGGCUUAAAAUUUUCUUUACGAUUUUCCGAACGAUUCUAAGAUUUACUUAUUAUACGCUUAAGGUAUCG